UACGGGGGGGGCAAGCGUUGUUCGGAAUUACUGGGCGUAAAGGGCUCGUAGGUGGCCAACUAAGUCAGACGUGAAAUCCCCGGGCUCAACCCGGGAACUGCGUCCGAUACUGCCAGGCUUGAAUCCGGGAGAGGGAUGUGGAAUUCCAGGUGUAGCGGUGAAAUGCGUAGAUAUCUGGAGGAACACCGGUGGCGAAGGCGGCAUCCUGGACCGGUAUUGACGCUGAUGCGCGAAAGCCAGGGGAGCAAACGGG
rnacentral:rRNA from 1 species